GCAGUGAAAAAGAAUACCCACAGACAAGGCACGGGUGGUGGGUCACCAAAGGCUGACCUUACCCCAGCAGAGGACAUGGCCUUGGAGCUAAAUAAAGGCAGGCCCGUCUUAGAGGGGAUCCCUGGGGGAAAGAGACGAGCAUAGGUUCCUCCCAAGAUGCCACCCGCUUCAUUCAAGUGUCUGGCAGCACUGUGUUCCUGUUAGAGCCACCAGCACAAGCACCAGACGAUGCUGAUCCAGAUGAAGGCCCCAGUGCAGCAGCAACAGCACAUGAUGGAGACGAUGAUGAGGAGGAGACCAUCUCUCUGGAUUCCAGAAGGCAUGAGGACCCAGAUGCUAUACAGUGGGAAAACCAGCCUGGCAACAUAAGCUCACAAGCUAUCAGAAAGUUGUAUGGCAACCACCUCCGGCGCCAAAUAGAACUGGCAGACAUAGACAUUCAGUACAAGAAGAAAAAGAUGGAAAAUCUUGCACUGGAGUCCGAAAUAAAAAAGAGGACAAUUAGGAAACUGGACCUUGAAAUAAAAAAACUUGAGAGGGAGCUCCAAGAAGAUGACACAGCUCAAAAUAAAAAUUAGCAAUCAGUACAACCAAGUCAUCGUUAUAAGGCAUCGCCCUCUUUUGCCCAC
rnacentral:lncRNA from 1 species